UUAUAACUAUUUAAAUGUUUCAGCAGUGAUUAUACAGGUGUGUAUAAUCAAUGGUUUCAGACCGCAAUCGAAAGUGCUGCUUAAAAUAAAGAGAUGGAAAUCGAAGAGCAAUUUUUCCGCAAAGUUCAGAACUUUUGGAAGUAUAUGCAAGUUUUGAUGGGGGUUUUAUUCUUAAUUAGAUUCUUCAUUAAACAUAAUUUUCGAAAAAUUAAUUACAGCUAAAAGCUGUUCAGGGUUCAUUUUAAUACGCAGGUUACACCUAAGUUAAAAGUCCAGGAGAAACAGCUAAUGCUAAUUUCUAAGGCUACCGAAUUACUUAUUAGUCAGCUGUUUUUUAAAUCCGCGAGCUCGCUCUAAAAAGUCGGAUCCAGUCGUAUCAAACGAAAUCGAUAAUCGAUCAACGUAUAAAACUGAACGCACAUUUUGUUGUUUUUAUUUUGAACUUUUUGCUCGUCAAAAAUGCCAAAAGUUUGUCUUGUGCCCUUCUGCAAAAUGCGAGAACCUACUCAGGGAAUAAAAUUUUUUAAGUAAGUAUAAGUAGGUAACUAUAUAUCCAUAAAUAAAUAACAAGCAAUUGCAUAUUGUGUUACUGUAUUUUCAGGAUAACUAACGCUAGACGUGUUUUAUGGCUACAUGCUUUGGGAAGAAAUCGAGAGGACGACAUUAGUGCACAUAAUGUUAUUUGCUCUCUUCAUUUCUCCUCUGCAAGUUUUUUACCAAGUGGAAAAUUGAAAAAAGGCGCUUUGCCAACGUUGAAAUUGAGGCCUGAAAAACCUGGUUUUACUUCACUUCGUACACAUUUAGAACUUCAACAUCAAUUAACCAAACGCCAGCCUCUACUGUUGCCAGUCGCUGCAGAAGCAUUAGAACCCUUAUCUUCAAUUUCAAAUGUGAUAGAAGAAAGUGAAUCACAUGGUUUGGUAGGAUCGCCCGAAAAAAGAAGAAAGUUAAAGAGACUGGAUCACUGCUAUUGUUUGAAUCCCAUAGAACCCUUACCGUCAAAUUCCAGUGCGAUU